rnacentral:rRNA from 1 species
UACGGGAGGCAGCAGUGGGGAAUAUUGCACAAUGGGCGCAAGCCUGAUGCAGCCAUGCCGCGUGUAUGAAAAAGGCCUUCGGGUUGUAAAGUACUUUCAGUCGUGAGGAAGGUGUUAAGGUUAAUAACCUUAGCAAUUGACGUUAGCGACAGAAGAAGCACCGGCUAACUCCGUGCCAGCAGCCGCGGUAAUACGGAGGGUGCGAGCGUUAAUCGGAAUUACUGGGCGUAAAGGGCACGCAGGCGGUUAAUUAAGUUGGAUGUGAAAUCCCCGGGCUUAACCUGGGAAUGGCAUUUCAAGACUGGUUAGCUAGAGUCUUGUAGAGGGGGUAGAAUUCCAUGUGUAGCGGUGAAAUGCGUAGAGAUGUGGAGGAAAUACCGGUGGCGAAGGCGGCCCCGUGGACAAAGACUGGACGCUCAUGUGCGAAAGCGUGGGGAGCAAACAGGGAUUAGAUACC